GUGAAUCAUCGAAUUUUUGAACGCAAAUUGCACUCUCCUCGGAGAGUAUGCCUGUUUGAGGGUCAGCCUAUAAAAAAUCGACAUCGUUGCUGUUUCGCGGUGGCGUUCGUCGGAAAUUGGGUCAUCUUAAAUCUUUGUUGUAAUUAAGCUACUAUAAUUUUUCCGUUUGCUUCCAUGAAC
rnacentral:misc_RNA from 1 species